CGGGCGUUGGUGGCUCACACCUU
rnacentral:piRNA from 1 species